AGGUACCGUCAAAUGAUAUGGGUAUUCGCCAUAGCACAUUUCUUCCCUAUUGACAGAGCUUUACAACUCGAAAGCCUUCAUCACUCACGCGGCGUCGCUGCAUCAGGGUUUCCCCCAUUGUGCAAAAUUCCUC
rnacentral:rRNA from 1 species